AUACGUAGGUGGCAAGCGUUAUCCGGAUUUACUGGGUGUAAAGGGCGUGUAGGCGGGCUGGCAAGUCGGGUGUGAAAUUUCCAGGCUUAACUUGGAGAGGUCAUCCGAAACUGCUGGUCUUGAGUACUGGAGAGGAUAGUGGAAUUUCUGGUGGAGCGGUAAAAUGCGUAGAUAUCAGGAGGAACACCAGUGGCGAAGGCGGCUAUCUGGACAGUAACUGACGCUGAGGCGCGAAAGCGUGGGUAGCAAACAGGAUUAGAUACCCUGGUAGCCCACGCCGUAAAUGAUGAAUACUAGGUGUAGGAGGUAUCGACCCCCCCUGUGCCGCAGUUAACACAUUAAGUAUUCCACCUGGGGAGUACGACCGCAAGGUUGAA
rnacentral:rRNA from 1 species